rnacentral:rRNA from 1 species
UACGUAGGGGCAAGCGUUGUCCGGAUUUAUUGGGCGUAAAGAGCUCGUAGGCGGUUGGGCAAGUCACGUGUGAAAUCUCCACGCUCAACGUGGAGGCGCCACGUGAGACUGCCCUGACUCGAGUCCGGUAGGGAGCGUGGAAUUCCCGGUGUAGCGGUGAAAUGCGCCAGAGAUCGGGAGGAACACCCGUAGCGAAGGCGGCGCUCUGGGCCGGUACUGACGCUGAGGAACGAAAGCGUGGGGAGCGAACAGG